rnacentral:misc_RNA from 1 species
UGAGGCUUUACAUCACAGUGUAGAACCCAUUCCAAGCAUUCUUCAUGUAAAUAUGCAAGCCCCUUUGCUGUGCCCAGAGCAAUAUGGAAUCUCUUUCGCCAAUCAACUGCUCUAGAGGAGAGUUUUUCUGCUAAGGACCCAUGCUCCAUGUACUCAUAAACUAAAAGCCUGUGCUUUCUUUCUGCACAAUAGCCCCACAUCUCUAUCAAGUUCAUGUGAUUAAUCUUCCCAAUGGUGCUUACUUCUGUUAGGAAUUCAGCUUCUCCUUGGUUAGCAAUAUUAAGUCGUUUGAUUGCGGCAAUCCGAUUGUCAGGCAGUGUUCCUUUGUACACAGUUCCUCCUGCUCCUCUUCCAAUUUCCACUCUGAAAUUUCCUGUUGCUUUUUUCAAUUCAGAAUAGGUGAAUCUUUUAAAUCCAGUGAUUGCAGGAUGGAGGUAGCCUUGAGAAGCUUCAUUCAAGUCCUUCUCGGAGCUGAACAAGAAACACCAAACCAAAAGAAUCCCAAUUAUCUCCACUGCUCCUAA